CCGGGCUCGGUGCUCGGAAGGGCGGGUGGUGCGUCCGAGCGGCGGCGGGGCUGCUGCCCGAUGAUUUACUUCACCAGAAGCGUUGUGUUUAAAAACAGCCCCUUUCUGCCAUCCCUGCGCCCCCGGCGGGCAGGGAGAUGAAGGCCGUGAAGGUGCACCCCGAUCGGACUGGAGGGCGGCCGGGGGAAGCCGUCCUUGCCCAGCUUCCAGGGCCGGCGCUGCCCCGACGGGGCGAACAGGGCGCGGGACAUCCCCAGGCCAGCCGGCCUCACUCACGCCUACAACCAUCGCAAUGUCUACACGUGGCCGGUGCUUUGGACCCGUGUUUAUGGUACGGGAAUGUUAAAUGAGUGUUUGGUUGCACCUGCUCGGAGCCCGUUCUCAUUCUGGAAACCGCCCGCACCUGGGUGGGUGAGGCAAGGUCACUUUCUGCUUGGGCAACGCCAGGCCCGGCGAGCCGCAGGGCCGGGGGCGGGUCCUAGGAGGAUAAUGUGCUCCGAGGGGGUAACCAAGCUGAAGGAACUGGACCUGGGUGCCGUUUUAAGUUGCGGAGCCGGACGGGCCCUGGGGUCUGCUUGUGGGCACUGCUGUCUGAGUUGUGCGGAGCUGGAGACAGAAAAGGGACCGGCUUUGCCCGGCAGCCCCGCCACGGCCGGUACCUCUGGAAGCCAAAUAAGUUCGUUUGGAAGCGGCGGUUCCCGAGGAGCCAGCGGAGGCUGGGCUUCGUGCAUCGCCGGGCAGCCGGCUCCCUGCAGCCCCGCCGGCGGCUGCGCGGCUCCGAGGCAACGCCGCUGCCGAGCGGGGAGAGCUGCGCCCUGCCCGGGGUCAGGGGGGCGGCUCGCCCAGCUCUGGCAGCGGCAGUGCCGCCCCCGGCAGCGAGAGCCCUGCCCGCAUCCUUCCUGCGAGCUGGAGAUCGGCGAGUGCUGGAGAGCCCCGGCUGGAGCAGUGCGAAGGGCUGCAACAGAUAUCAACGGGAGUGGCCAUGGGAUGUGA
rnacentral:lncRNA from 13 species